rnacentral:rRNA from 1 species
AUGAACUUGUGCAACAUACAUGUGUUGCAGAGUUUUUUUUUUCAUCUUCACUUUUUUGCAGCAUGGUAUUGUCACGGAAUAAACCUUUGCAACACACAUGACAUUGUAGAAAAAACCAAUGGAAAUGAAGUUACAGAAACAUCGACGUCGCCGCCGUUCGCCGUCAACCACGAGGCCAUCAACCUCCAAGCUCCCGUCUCGAGCACCGCCAAUCCCCGUCGCCGGUCGCGUGGGCCAGCGAGCUCGCAUGCUAGCCGCUGCUUGCAUGCUACUUCCAUGUACGCCCACAGUUGGGUUGGGGAAGGACAUGGCCGGGUUGUGGUGUCCACCGAAGGCUUGCGUGGCCAUUCUGCUCGCAGGCCGGUGGGCAUGGGCUAG